UACGGAGGGUGCAAGCGUUAUCCGGAUUCACUGGGUUAAAGGGUGCGUAGGUGGGCAAGUAAGUCAGUGGUGAAAUCUCCAGGCUUAACUUGGAAACUGCCAUUGAUACUAUCAGUCUUGAAUACCGUGGAGGUCAGCGGAAUAUGUCAUGUAGCGGUGAAAUGCUUAGAUAUGACAUAGAACACCAAUUGCGAAGGCAGCUGGCUACACGAAUAUUGACACUGAUGCACGAAAGCGUGGGGAUCAAACAGG
rnacentral:rRNA from 1 species